UUAGAGGAAGUAAAAGUCGUAACAAGGUUUCCGUAGGUGAACCUGCGGAAGGAUCAUUAACGAUUGCUACUCACGCAAAGACAAAAAAAAAACCACACACGUGGUUAAAGCGGGAAGCACAAAAAUGGUGCACCACAUGCAGUACAAGACACGUAUGGUAAAACGCUAUGACACCUGACGAGUUCAGGAAGCGUAAUGCCUCCCUCUCUCUCUCUCGCGCUCUAGCGAAAGGAUUGGGGGAGCCAUCGUGGUCGUUACGUGCGUCCUCCGCACAAUGCGACCGAUGUAAAACAAACAAACGAUGGCCUCUUAUAUUUUGCAUAAAAUCUAUCGCCACGGCAUACAGGCCUGGCAUCUGGUACGAGACUCUCGCAGUCUCAAAACCAACCUUACAACUCUGAGCGGUGGAUCACUUGGCUUGUGGAUGCUAUGAAGACCAUAGCUAAGUGUGAGAAUGGCAGCGAGCCGUCGCUAUAUGCGCUGUCCUCUUCUUAUCACAUGUCGAAUGCACAUUGCGCCCCACCCAGCGGUCGGCUAACCUCCUGCAGACAAAAGCCUGUGUUCUGGAGCAAAGGUUGAUGUGUGGCCCUCGAGCAACGGCGGGGGAGCCAGGAGCACAUUGACGUGCGUUCCAGCCACUCGUGAGUAGUCAGGCUGAACCCCAUGGUGGGGCACUCCUAGUCGAGUGUGGUGGAUCGUGCUCAACUCCUUUGACGCGCUUCGGCGCGCAUAGGCAGCUUGAGAUUUUUACUUUGCUAAUGGCUAUUUUGGUCGACAUCAGUCGUGCCAGUAAACACCUGCCUUGGCUCGUGCCUCUGUGCGUUUAACUUACGCGGUUGCGCAUAUCGAAAGGCCAUAGCUGGCGAUCUCUCUUGCGGCCAGGGCACUGUUUCUGCCAGGUUCAUUUUCGAUAAUGGCCACAGUGCGCACAGGUCCAAAAAUAACGGAAUGGUAACCAACGAGAGUCGGGUCUCUGUUUCUCUGUCUCGCUCACACGCAGCGAGUGGUGUUCGAUACGUACAAACACAUGUACACAUAAAUGCCCCGCAUCCGCCCGUCUGUCAGCUCGCUCGCUCGCACGCUUAUCUGGCUAAGGCUCGUUUCUCGUACUAUCCGAGAACGACACACGAGCCCUACAUCUUUUAUUCGCACACACACACCACCGGUUGUCCGACGCGUGACGAGAUCAGGUCGGAUUUUUCCGAGUGAGUGUGUGUGUGUGGUAAGAGUAACGGAUUCGCGUGCAGUAUCGUAACACCGCUCCCUUCACUGUGUAUCGGCGAGGAAUGAGUGAGACCUGCCAUCUUGCUUUUGCAUAUGCCACCACCUCGACUUAGGAGAGGAUACCCGCUGAACUUAAGCAUAUCAGUAAGCGGAGGAAAAGAAACCAAUCAGGGAUUCCCUUAGUAGGGGCGACCGAAAAGGGAUGAGCCCAGCGCAGAACCUCCCGGGCCACCCGGCCUGCGGCGGAAUGUUGCGUUAAGGGAAAGGUCGUAGUCAAACCCCACAGCCACGCGAGCACUAAGUAAGUCACGAAUUGGCUAUCCUAACUAACGGAAGGAGCAUCUCCAUGGAGGGUGUCAGACCCGUGUGGGCGCGUGUAAAUGCUGUGUGGGCUCGGCCUCUUUUCCCUGAGAGUCGCGUUGCUUGAGCAUGCAGCGCUAAGCAGGUCGUAAACUCGAUCUAAGGCUAAAUAUGUCCACAAGACCGAUAGUGAACAAGUACCGUGAGGGAAAGUUGAAAAGCACUCUGAAGAGAGAGUCAAAAGACCGUGAAACCGCUC
rnacentral:rRNA from 1 species